ACCAUAGCAAGUCGGUACCACCCCUUCCCAUCCCGAACAGGACCGUGAAACGACUUUGCGCCGAUGAUAGUGCUGCAACCAGUGUGAAAGUAGGUUAUCGUCAGGC
rnacentral:rRNA from 1 species